rnacentral:lncRNA from 1 species
AUCCCUUAAAAAAAACCGGCCAUCCAUAUCCAUUAAUUAAUUCUCUCUCUCCCAUGUAAACACGUCCCUUCCUCUAUCUCUCUCACGUAUCUUCCAAUCUCUCUCUCAGAAAAAAUUCUGCGCAUCUCCUCUCUCCAUUCUCUCUCUUCCCCCAUGGAAAACGAAAUCAUCUUCUCCCCCACAAACCGAAGCAAAGGAGUUGCGGGCAUGGAUCCAGUUGAUCAAUGAUCUUAAUGGAUCAAUUUUUUUCCCUCAGCUUGAUCAGGUUUACAUUAAAAACAUCUGGACCAGGUUCGUUUCUCACAUGUUUUUACCAAGAUUUGAUCAAAGUUUCACACUCCUUUUUUUCUGAUUUGUGCAUUGAAUAAACUUCAAAAUACGUGUUCCUUUGAUCUGUUGUAUUAAUGUUCUUCUUUCUUUGUUUUCUGUAAUUUAGGUUCUAAAACAAUGGCGACAACACAAAAGAAACCGGGAAAGUACGUGGACACAGAUUGAUAUAUUAGUUCACAUUAUUGACAUAGUUUUUAGUUUCUUUCCAAGAUAAUUGGUGUAGUUGAUUGAUUGCUUGACCAAAGCAUUCAACAUCACAAACUGGUUAAAAGUGGACCAAUUUUUGGGUUCCAAGUUCCAAUUAUUAUCAAAUGAUAUAUGUAGUUGCUCAGUUGCUACAUCUUCGCUCCUUCCAAUCCCUCAACUUAUAUGCUGGAUCACAGUGUAAUCUAUGAUGGACGAUGUAGUGGCGUAGGGCUGGUGCAGGGCAAUGUUGCAGGUCGUUCGUUAAUCUGGUUUAAGUAGCGGCCGAAUAUCGGUCAUCUCAGCAAACUACGCGGGCAGAUGUUUCUCAAGGGGCAAGCGUUUCCUCUCCACCUGCCCCAAGAGUCACUCCCAACUGCCGAUAGCUAGGACCGUUAUUGUCCUUAGACCUUAGUACGGCCCUAACAACCACCAGCAUAUCGGUUACAGCGUGUUUAUUUCUAAAAAAAUCCGGCACUUUUCUUGGACCAGGGAAAAGAUGACAGUCGAUCAGCUCACCUAGAUAAGCUGGUGUUCUCUCUAAUCUCAAUUCGGGUAUACUUCUCUUUAAGUUUUACCUUCUGUCAAAAAAAUCCGUUCUAUAGUUAGUUUGAUGUUGUGUUUACAAUUUAAUGCCGACUAGCAAAAUAACUUACUUCUAUUAGCAGAAUAUAUUUAUUGAUUGUUCACCAAGAGCAAAUGCAAAUAUGCAUUGAAUAGACUCCAUGUACGGGUUGCAAGACUGAAAGGCCCAAAUCCCUUCGUCAAAUUGACACAUGAGGAGAAAAAGCAUGUGCUUUUCUUGGAGCAGGGAUAUAAGACGACAAUCAAACAAACCAGAUAGGUUGGUAUUCUCUUGAAUCAGCAUUCAGAUUUACUCCUCCUGAAGUUUUACUUUUUGUUGAAAUUUGUCGAUCUAGGGAUAGUUUGAUCCUCUAUUCAUAGUUUAUGUCCGACUAGCAAAAUAUAUUACUCAUUCUAGCCGGAGCAAUUUAUCUUAGUUGGUGUUGACCAACAAACAUGUGCAGAUAUGCUUUCAACGGAUCCCAUGUAGGUGUGUUGCUUGAUCAAAAGGCAGAAAACAUGUUCCAAUAAACGCUGCUCAUGGAAGUUUCACUCUCGAAGAAGAAGAAACUCAAUAUCAUGUAUGUUGAUACAUCUUUAAAAACACUUUAUUUGAGAAGCUGAUUAGUCAUACAUACAUACAACAUUAAGCUAAUAAAUGUGUUUAUACUGUGUUUCUAGACUGCUAGGGCAGUGGGUUUAGAAAAGUGUUGAGGUGAGCAACAUCUAUACAACGGCCGGAUGCCGGAUGCACAUUUAGCGGAGAUGUCGAUAUAAUGGUACAGGAAGAGGGUUUCAUAUCCGGUGGCGGCUAAAGCCUGCGGCAGGGUAGUCGGGCAUGGGCACGCAGAGAAGUGGAAAUCUGGAAGAGGAUGGGCGUCGAGGACAUAGAGAGGCAAACGGGACGCAGUGAGCCGCGAGGGGCAGAUACCCACGUCUUCAUGUUUUUUAGAGGUGACGUCUACAGUUUUUGUUGUUGGACUACAUACAACAGAACGUAUACUUCUGGGACUUUAGCCACGAAUAAAAUUUUAGAUGGCAUCUACAGUUUUUUUUAUUGAACAGAUCAGGAG